rnacentral:rRNA from 1 species
AGCGAACGCUGGCGGCAGGCCUAACACAUGCAAGUCGAACGAACUCUUCGGAGUUAGUGGCGGACGGGUGAGUAACACGUGGGAACGUGCCUUUUGGUUCGGAAUAACUCAGGGAAACUUGUGCUAAUACCGAAUGUGCCCUUCGGGGGAAAGAUUUAUCGCCAUUAGAGCGGCCCGCGUCUGAUUAGCUAGUUGGUGAGGUAACGGCUCACCAAGGCGACGAUCAGUAGCUGGUCUGAGAGGAUGACCAGCCACACUGGGACUGAGACACGGCCCAGACUCCUACGGGAGGCAGCAGUCGGGAAUCUUGCGCAAUGGGCGAAAGCCUGACGCAGCCAUGCCGCGUGAAUGAUGAAGGUCUUAGGAUUGUAAAAUUCUUUCACCGGGGACGAUAAUGACGGUACCCGGAGAAGAAGCCCCGGCUAACUUCGUG